rnacentral:lncRNA from 1 species
AUGGUAACCAGCAGACAGACCUGAGAGAAGCAAGGCUGCAGAGAAACUGUAGCCAUCACCAAACAACAAAUCAAAGGGAAGUGUCUCAGGAGAGAUUUCUAAUUAUCAUACAUUUGUCCUUGCAGCCAAACCAGGAUGCAGUGGAAAUGGUGCCUUUGGCACUAGCAUCUUAGGUCACAAAAUCAGUUGUCUUGAAAUUCUUACUAACUUUUGAACGUGGAACCCUACAUCUUCGUUUUGUACUGGUCCCCACAUAUUUUAUAGCUGAUCUGAAGGAGGAGAGAGAGAUGAUGGGGGAUGAAGGGUAUGGAAUUGUAUGCUAUGGCUGCCUGCUGUCGAAGUUCUCCAGGUCCAGAGAGGAUUUAAGUUGCUGGAAUAAUCCACCCAGUCUUCGAGAUGUGAUUAUAUAAUUGAUGGUAUGUGGAUAUCACUGAUCACAAAACACAAUAAAGGACCUAAGGCAACAUCUUUGUUCUUUCUCAAUGUGGGGAAAAUGUUUUUGUUCUACUUGGUAAGUGGCCUCUGCAGUGUCUCUUGGAGACCUCAAUAAAUGAUUAUUUUCCAGCAUUCCAUCACAUGCCAAAUGUUUUACUCCCAUGUCCCUGAGGUUCUCGUCUGUCAGCACUUGUCUUGCAGCUCAGUACAGACAGGGCAUGGGUA